GUGAAUCAUCGAAUCUUUGAACGCACAUUGCACCCUCUGGUAUUCCGGAGGGUAUGCUUGUUUGAGUAUCUGUUAUCAUCUCAACUCUCUAGACGCUUGCGUCAAAGAGGAUUGGAUUUGAGUGAUCCCGACUCCUUCGUCAGAAAGAGGAGGGUCACUUGAAAUGCAGAUGCAGCAGGACAUUCUUCUGAGCUAAAAGCAUAUCUAUUUAGUCCCGUCAAACGGAUUAUUACUUUUGCUUCAGCUAAUAUAAAGGUUCGAAUGAACUACCAAAGCUGAUUGCAGGAAAACUUGUUCUGUCUGACAGAACUUGUAAACUCGAUCUCAAAUCAAGUAAGACUACCCGCUGAACUUAAGUCAUAUCAAUAAGCGGAGG
rnacentral:rRNA from 1 species